GCUAGUGUAGCACAGUCGGUAGUGCAGCUGAUUCGUAAUCAGCAGGGCGCGUGUUCGAGUCACGUCACUAGCUCCA
rnacentral:tRNA from 1 species